rnacentral:rRNA from 1 species
UACGAAGGGGGCGAGCGUUGUUCGGAUUUACUGGGCGUAAAGGGCGCGCAGGCGGCCGUGUUUGUCAGGCGUGAAAGCCCCGGGCUCAACCUGGGAAUGGCGCCUGGGACGGCAUGGCUAGAGAUCGGGAGAGGAGCGUGGAAUUCCAGUGUAGAGGUGAAAUUCGUAGAUAUUCGCAAGAACACCAGUGGCGAAGGCGGCUCACUGGCCCGAUACUGACGCUGAGGCACGAAAGCGUGGGGAGCAAACAGG